AGCAAACUGUCCCUGAUUUAUUCAAUCUAGGAGUUUGCAGGGAUGGGCAAAAUCCUCUUAAGCUUUACUCAUGAUAGUCCAUGAAUGGCAGUCCAGUUGUAUGUAUUAUUU